rnacentral:rRNA from 1 species
UACGUAGGGGGCAAGCGUUGUCCGGAAUCAUUGGGCGUAAAGAGCGUGUAGGCGGCCCGGUAAGUCCGCUGUGAAAGUCCAGGGCUCAACCCUGGGAUGCCGGUGGAUACUGUCGGGCUCGAGUCCGGAAGAGGAGUGUGGAAUUCCUGGUGUGAGCGGUGAAAUGCGCAGAUAUCAGGAGGAACACCAAUGGCGAAGGCAGCACUCUGGGACGUGACUGACGCUGAGACGCGAAAGCGUGGGGAGCAAACAGG